CAGCAGCCGCGGUAAUACGGAAGGUCCAGGCGUUAUCCGGAUCUAUUGGGUUUAAAGGGAGCGUAGGCGGAUUAUUAAGUCAGUGGUGAAAGACGGUGGCUCAACCAUCGUUAGCCAUUGAAACUGGUAGUCUUGAGUGCAGACAGGGAUGCUGGAACUCGUGGUGUAGCAGUGAAAUGCUUAGAUAUCACGAUGAACUCCGAUCGCGAAGGCAGGUGUCCGGGCUGCGACUGACGCUGAGGCUCGAAAGUGUGGGUAUCAGACAGGAUUAGAUACCCCAGUAGUCCCUGUCUCUUAUACA
rnacentral:rRNA from 1 species